CAUGGGGUGUAUUUGGUGGAAGGAGUCUGGGUAUUAAAAGGGAAGCGUCGGACCUAGUCAGAUGAAGCCCAAGGUUUAUCCUUGUUGAGUUCAAGAAGAGGGGAGAUGAGUCAGGAAAAAGGAGUGCCAAGUAGUAAAGGCCAUUUGGGUUUGAUCUAUGAAGCUCAACACAUGGGGGCAAAGGGAUGGAAGGGAUUCAGUCUGCCUCAUUCAGUUUUCAAUCCUAACAGAGACUCCCUCCCUCUCUUGUACCUAUAUCUCAUUGUAAAUCACUAUGCCGCGCUGGAGGUGGAGGAGCCACCCAUGACAAGCCAAAACCACCACGACUUAACUUGUUUUUGCAUCCUCUCUCUAUUUCUCAUACCUAUUUCAUAUGAUUCUCACCGAAUCCUCCAAUCCACCAUAAAACCUCCAAGAACCCUAAUUAUGCCAUCUAGAUUUAAAUGGCCACGACUAACAAACCUAAGCCAUUACCUUAGAGAUUUUGUUUGUUAUUUCAAAUGCUACAUAGUGGUAACAAUAUUGGUGUAAAGAAGUGAAGAAUCGAGAUUGCCAAGCCUACCUACAGAGCGGAGGCGUGCUCUGAAAAUGUUGCAAAGCUUGAAGAUGGAGAUGUGAAGAUAGAAACCCAAAGAUAUGCUCAGUUUAUUUUCAGCAUUAGCAGUCUGCACGAAUAAAUUCAUAACUGGAGAUAGGAGUAUCGGAUCGAGGCGUGCUACCAGUCGUUGGAAAGAUAAGAGAGAGAGCUACAACUUUUAUGUUGAAGACAAAAUCUGAUUUGGAGCGAAGACGUCUCAAUUAAUUCAUUGAAGUUUCGUAUUUUAGGAAAUAUUUUCUUUUGGGCCAUUUGUUGGACCGAAUUUAGGUUUUUCGGCCCAGUUUGAAUUAUUAGUGAAACCCUUAUUCUGUUUAAAAGGGAAGUCGCGGUACUGUAGCAGAGACACAUUAUUCACAAUAACUUUUUGUUUUUAUGCGAUCAUGAAGAGAAACUAAUCUUCUAGAGUCAAUCUGCUGUAACCGAAUUUCCAAGGCUUUGAGGUUUUUAUUCUA